UACGUAGGGUGCAAGCGUUACUCGGAAUUACUGGGCGUAAAGCGUGCGCAGGCGGUGAUGUAAGACAGAUGUGAAAUCCCCGGGCUCAACCUGGGAACUGCAUUUGUGACUGCAUCGCUGGAGUACGGCAGAGGGGGAUGGAAUUCCGCGUGUAGCAGUGAAAUGCGUAGAUAUGCGGAGGAACACCGAUGGCGAAGGCAAUCCCCUGGGCCUGUACUGACGCUCAUGCACGAAAGCGUGGGGAGCAAACAGG
rnacentral:rRNA from 1 species